GACGUAGGGCGCGAGAGUUGUCCGGGUUUAUUGGGCGUAAAGAGCUCGUAGGCGGCUUGUCGCGUCGUCCGUGAAAACCUGCGGCUCAACUGCAGGCUGGCGGUCGAUACGGGCAGGCUGGAGUUCGGUAGGGGAGACUGGAAUUCCUGGUGUAGCGGUGAAAUGCGCAGAUAUCAGGAGGAACACCGGUGGCGAAGGCGGGUCUCUGGGCCGAUACUGACGCUGAGGAGCGAAAGCGUGGGGAGCGAACAGG
rnacentral:rRNA from 1 species